rnacentral:ncRNA from 1 species
UAAUGGUAGAGGUGCGGUGUUUAAGAGUAAUCCAUCGGAUGUCUUAGAGCAGUUGAAGAUGGUUGAAAGGGAAGACCGCCGAAGGGGGCUUUGGUCUAAGCUAUGGCUUUCCUGGUUGUAUAGUUAAUAGCUAUGCGACUGUCAUCGUAAGAUGGAGCGCUACUUAG